AUUACCCAUGCAUGCUAUUGAAUAUAAAGAAAAGACGAACAGCUCUGUAACUCUUAUUUUAUUUGAUGUAUUAGGACUAUAACUAUGUUAAAUUAUAGAUAACAAUAAUACAAUAAGAAUAAGAUCUAUCAGUUAGUUGUUAAGGUAAUGGCUUAACAAGACUAUGACGGAUAACGGUAUUACUUUGUAAUAUUCCGGAGAAGGAGCCUGAGAGAUUGCUACUAAGUCUAAGGAUUGCAGCAGGGGCGAAACUUGACCUAUGAUAUGAUAUUGAGGCAGUUAUGAGUAGUAUUUUUAAUUAUUGUAGUAUUGUAAGUAUAUACUACAAGAUAAAUCGGAGGGCAAAUCGAGUGCCAGCAGCCGCG
rnacentral:rRNA from 1 species